GGUCUUUUGUAGUUCAUAAACAUGAUAAUUAGGUUUUCAUGAUAUUGUGUGAGAUGUUCCUUCCUCAAGCCUUUCUAUGAUAUUGGCACAUUUCUGGUCUGACA
rfam:Ictidomys tridecemlineatus contig002271, whole genome shotgun sequence.